rnacentral:lncRNA from 1 species
CCCCGUCCCAUGGCUACAGGCGGCUGCGGACGUCCUGCAGCAGUGCAUCCAGCUGUGCACUCAGGGCCGCCCCGUCCCCAUCGUUGGCGAUCACCCAAUCGAAGGGCACCCCCUGGUCCAGGCCGCACUCGGACUCAGCGUCGUCCACCCCCGCCACGAAGACCCAACUCCUCCUCCUCCUCGUCUCCUCGGUGGCCGUCACACGCACGGUCAGCACCGCGUCCCCGUAGGCGUCCCGGAACCACUCCACAUCCGAGAGGCGCCGCGUGUCACUCACCACCCACACGGGCUGUGCUGCGCCCCGCACUGCACUGCGGCAGAAGAACCCGGGGUCGGCGCGGCGCUUCUCCUCGCCCCAACGGAUCAUGUCCUGCCGGUACCGCUCCUUGUAGGCGCUGGCAUCCAGGAGCCGCUGGAAGUCCAGGCCGUGCUCCUGCGCGUAUUGCUCCUUCAGCGGUCCGGACAGGCGCAGCACGGUGCACACGUCGGGGCCCAACCGCUUCUGGAUCUCCGCCGCCACGAAAUCUUUGCCCGAUUUCCUUUUGCCGCUCAGCAGCAGCACCGCACGGGGGGCCGCCAUCCCCGCCCCUCCCC